AUGAUGGAUGCUAACUUAGUUGCUCCAGCACGUGCCCAUAGGCGGGCCUUGUCUUUGAUUGUGCGAGCAAGAGCUUCAUUUGAGGGCCGGGCAUUAUCGAAGACAGCAGCGUUUCGGUGCUUCCAAAUGGACCAGGCAGUGAGCGCGACGAGCGAGUUUAUCCCCUUGCAAGAUGAAGCAGGGGCAGUGUUGUUGGUCUUGCACUACCAGUCGAAGAAGGCAUCGGUGGAGCACGGCGUGGGGAUUGGUAGUCGGCACCAUGAGAGGAUUUCGUGCCAAGUAAGCCGGGAGAAGACGCAUGGGGCAAGUAGGUGA
rnacentral:rRNA from 1 species